ACUCAGUCUCGUUGCCCUUGCUCCAAAACACAUGUCAAAGGCAUAAACAGAAACUCGCAAAUUGCCAUCGUGGCAUUUUCCCCUAUAAAAUAUUGCCUACCAAAUUACGCGAACGUGAUUUCAAAUCCCAGCGGUUCGAAACUCUCGCACUUUCCCUCCUAAACGAAUCGUUUUACCACCCUAGUCUUGAGAGAAAAAUGGAAACCGCGAAGGGGUUCAGAGGAAGAAUAGGCGGAGGGAGGAAGAAGGCAGUGUCGAAGUCGGCCCGAGCUGGGCUUCAAUUUCCGGNUGGGUCGGAUCUGCCGUUUCAUGAAAGCUGGUCGCUACGCCGAUCGGAUCGGAACCGGGGCUCCGAUUUACAUGGCUGCUGUUCUUGAAUAUUUGGCUGCUGAGGUUCUGGAGUUGGCGGGGAAUGCGGCACGUGACAACAAGAAGACUCGGAUCAGCCCGCGGCACGUGCUAUUGGCAGUGAAAAACGACGAGGAGCUGGAGAAGCUUUUAAAAGGAGUGACCAUAGCCAGUGGCGGUGUGCUUCCGCAGAUAAACCCAGUUUUGCUUCCAAAGGAGACGACGUCGUCCAAAGCCUCUUCCAAGGCUCCCAAGCUCGUCAAUCCCACCACCAACAAAUCGUCUUUUUCUGCUGCUGUAGAAGAUGCUCCCGACUUUGGGAAUGAGGCAAACGACGCCGCUUCGGAUGUCGCCGACAAUGCGUCUCCCAAUUCACCACCCAAGGAGGAGGCCUCAAGCCCCUCUUCUGGUGUUUCUGCUGUAUCAGCAACUACGUAAAUGUCAGUAGGGAACUAUAGGAAUGAAAGGUUCUUUAGUCAGAGUAGUGCACAAAUGGAAACUGAUAGUGGGUUGGUAUAUCUGAAAGAAACUUCAAAUGGGAAGUUUCUUAUUUUGUGAAUGAAAUUUAAAUGCAAUCUUCUUAUGGUGAUCAAUUGAAAUUUGGAAUGCAAAUCCUCAUAUCAAAUGGAAAGAUUUCUUA